AGUCGAGGGGUAUAGAGAGCUUGCUUUCUAGAGACCGGCGGAUGGGUGAGUAACGCGUAUGCAACCUACCUUUUACAGGGGAAUAGCCCGGAGAAAUUCGGAUUAAUGCUCCAUGGUUUAUAUGAAUGGCAUCGUUUAUAUAAUAAAGAUUUAUCGGUAAAAGAUGGGCAUGCGUAUCAUUAGCUAGUUGGUGUGGUAACGGCAUACCAAGGCUACGAUGAUUAGGGGUCCUGAGAGGGAGAUCCCCCACACUGGUACUGAGACACGGACCAGACUCCUACGGGAGGCAGCAGUGAGGAAUAUUGGUCAAUGGAGGCAACUCUGAACCAGCCAUGCCGCGUGCAGGAUGACGGUCCUAUGGAUUGUAAACUGCUUUUGUACGGGAAGAAAUGUAAUUACGAGUAAUUAUUUGACGGUACCGUAAGAAUAAGGAUCGGCUAACUCCGUGCCAGCAGCCGCGGUAAUACGGAAGGAUCCGAGCGUUAUCCGGAAUUAUUGGGUUUAAAGGGUUCGUAGGCGGUUGAGUAAGUCAGUGGUGAAAUCUUAUAGCUUAACUAUAAAAUUGCCGUUGAUACUGCUUGACUUGAAUAGUAUGGAAGUAAUUAGAAUAUGUAGUGUAGCGGUGAAAUGCUUAGAUAUUACAUGGGAAUACCAAUUGCGAAGGCAGAUUACUACGUACUUAUUGACGCUGAUGA
rnacentral:rRNA from 1 species